UUGACUUGGGGAACUUUGCCGCGUGUAGGUGCGCAGCUAAAGGGACACUCGCCCCCUUACGCGCGCGGAGCCGUGCACGACAGGCAGACUUAGCAAGCAGCAGCGAUGCUAAACUCGAGCGAUUGACGAAGAUUCCUUCAACGCAAGCUCGGUCCGAACUCGUUUUGUUUUUGUCAUUGUGCGCGACCAUCGGACCCUCUCCAUACAGUUGGGGGUUGUUGGCCGUUCACGCACGGACCCACUGACGCGAUGGAGAAUUACUCGCCUCUGCAAUUUAGGUCGGCGAAGUGCUACCAGAUUCAUGGAAACAAACACAGCUUAAGCGACAUCGUAAUACCCCCCCCCCCUUCUUUUUUCCGUUGAAAAUUUAAAUACUUUUGCAACGUGAAAUGCGUCUUGAUCAAAACUAAUAAACACACGCGGACGCGCGCGCGCGCCCCGGCACCAAUCCGUAAUUGUGCGCACAAAUACAGAACGGACAAUAAUUCGUAGCAAGCGCGUACGUAUUAUUUUGCAAUGUCUCAACAACAACAACAACAAAACACGACAUUACCACCGCUCAUUCUUCCGAUUUCCAGCUAAGCUCGGCGCGCUUAACUACAGGAUUGGAACACACCAUAAAAGUUGAGGUCUUUCAAGUGGGCGCCCAUCUGUGCAUAUUCCGUUUACAAAGCGUGCGGGUAUUUGUCACAGCACGGAAUGUUGCAAUUCUGACGUGAAUUCAAACUCAGUGGCGUGGUCCUUUCGCCUGUACCGCCCAUACACACAAACACAAGCACGCGCGCGCGCAUAGACACAAAGACAAAGAUCCCCCGUAUGGCCUUAACGGACUGUUGGGGCAAGCGCUGUUAGCGAGCACCUAUGAAGGUCCGUAACGGCACACGAAGGAGUGGGUGGCCAGCACCACGCCCGACCGCCUUUGACACCCCAGUGGCGAUGUUUACACACCGCACCAGGUACUCAUUUGAGGCUCAGUUGACCUAGGGGAGGCCCAGGACCGCAUAUACAUACAUCCAUAGAUGCACACGUGCACAGACACCCACAAAGACACAGGUACGAACACACACAGGUAAAGACACCAAUACACAUACGAACACACGUAGACAUACCAACACAUAGACGUACUAACAUCCGUACGUAUACGCAAACAAAAACAGACACGGACACACGGACAGACACAUACACACAAACACACAGGCAUAUACACACACACACACGCCCUUGUGAGACACGUUCUUGGACAGUCGUGAUAUUCACUGCAAUUACUCUUUGCCACGAUACCGUUGGCGACUUUUCUGUGGAUUUUUGGCAAAUCUUUUGUUUGGAAUUGCGAGGCAGUCAAAUUCGGACGAAGCCACUUAUAUCAACUCGUAUGGAGGAGAAACAAAUAUCAUAGCGUGCAUAUCAGACAUUUAAAUGCUGUAUAAUUAUUGUUAAUUACAGUCCAAUAUGGAUAACUUUAAAAGUAUGUUUGUGGAAUUCACGCCAUUGCUUGGUUUGCUAGAUGUGUAUCUAUUCUAUACCCCGCGGGUUCAAGUGGACUCGAUAACGGAAGGAACAUGCUGAUACAUGAACAUGUUUUUGCAUCAUACAAAAUGUUUGCAUAAUAGGAUCGAAAAUUAAAUUUUUUGUUGCAAUAUUUUUUCCCUAUAAAAAAUCAACAACACUGUCGCUGCUGGGGGAUAUUGUUUCCCGACGUAUCAAGUGCACCAAGCAGUGUGUUAUUAUUACACUAUAUAUAUCUUGCUUUUGUAAGUAUAUCAAUCCCAUAUUACGAAUUACGUUGUCGCCAAUGAACACCCUUUCAUUCAUUAAGCCGACAGUUCAUCGCACACGUGAAUGUCGUCGUGGAUUAAGCGUUUCCCACAAUUCGAAGUUUCUUCUUACGAAUAUUAUUCCUUUCUUACAAAAACGUUCGCCAUUCGUGUCUUCUUUUGAAAGCAACAACUUAAAAACUACAAAAAAAAUCACGCUUUCCGGGCUAAAACAUAAUGCCAUGCUCCAUGUGCGUUUUGUCUUCUCGCGAGCUGGGGGCAAUGAAUAGCGCUUCGUCAAUUAUAACUCGGACAGCCAAUUAAGAACUCCACUGAUUUAUGCAGUAACAAUCAAUGUAAGGUGAAAGACAGUACCACCGAUUCAUCCUUCUGCUUAUAGCCAAUGCUGCAAUACUUGUGCCUUCAGACUCGCGAAUGAAUCGCGUUUGUGUUCGCUUCUCUUCAUCAACAGUCGCGAGCUUCUCAACUUUGUUGUUGUUGUUGGCGCAACUUAUCAAGAUGCGCAUUCGGUAUCAUUAUCAUCAUCAUUGGCAGCAACUGAGCUCCACAAGUCCCAUGGCUAUCCCUUCGACUGAGACGGAGGUUGACGCUUUAUUGUUUUUUGUGUUUCCGAAUGUAACUGUCAUCAGAUGUUAACAGAGGGGUGAAUUCAUUUCAGACAUCGCGUUAGUCAACAGCACACUGAACACGGUAAGCGUCACUUAAUGUUGCCGAAAACGAAACGUAUGCAGUAGACUGACUUGUAGCCCUCACUCAGAUCAAUGCCUGGUAUUCAGAGCCGAAAGAUAAGGGUCAUAUCCCGAAACGUUAUAUACUUUUAAGUUAUAAGGUUGUGUUAAUGUUCUGAGUACUGUAUUGUUUCUCUAGUGGUGAUUGUGUAUUCGAAUCACUGUUAACAGGAGUCCUUUCUUUGUUGUUGUUGUGUGAUGUUGUUUUUGUUGUGUGAUGUUGUUGUUUGAUGUUGUUGUUUGAUGUUGUUAUCCACUCAGCCACUGGAAUAUCACGAAACUCCGAAUGGAAGGGCGCAAAAUGACCACCACCAGGACUACCACCACCACCACCACCAACCACCACACGUCAUGAGUUUGGUGAGUCAAGGAGUAUUGGAGUCUGUGCCCUCUGGUUGCCUGGGUGAAAAGUGGAGGAGUUGUGUCCGUGUCCAAUCCUGGCCCAGCCUGGCUCCAAAACCCAAGAAAUGGAAACGGAAAGUCCCUGGAAGCCUCUUUGGCUGUGGAAGCAUUUUAUUGCAAGCAUCUGUAGCUGGCACAAGGCGUUGCAACAACAACAGCAACACAACGAUGAAAGGAACAAUCGCAGACGUGUAAUCAUACGUAGUGUGCAGUGUUCCGCGGUCUACGCGCAAAUAAAAUUGGGAGCCUGCUUCGCGAGUGGCGAAUAAUAUGACCUCUUUGGCGUUCUGCAGUCGAGGGAUAACUUUUCACGCCAUUGUUAGCCGCCUCCAGGAGAAACAAAGACGGCUCUGCUUCCCAGAGACCGCGAAAAGAAAUGUAAUUCAGUGAAACCAUUUUGGAUUCUUGACUGACUGCAUCAACCAUGCCACUGUUCGGUGCACAUUUGUUAUUCCAGGGUUUGUGAAGGCAUAUUCCCAGCCAUGCAGGCCAAGCUGAUGUAGGCAUUCUAUUCAGAUGCUGCUUGAGAAGCAUACCAUUCAUCUCCGCAUGCCCUCUGACAAAAGGCCCAAUUCAGUAUUGUGUACUUUUUGCCAUUUGGUCCUCAGGCACAGUCCAAGUUAUUUGUUUCAAAACUGCCAGGAAUGGAGAGGGGAGGGGGCGGGAAAUAAGUUUAUAUUAUUGUAAAAUUUCAUAUUUAAUCUUUUUUUACUUGGGAAAAAAAUCGCUUACAUUGUACUCUGCUGAGUGAAGGAAAUUACAUUUUCGGUCAAAAUAUUGUUUGCACUUGUACAGGUAUCAAAAAAAAGCGGGUCACAAUGCCGCUUGAUUUAAUGGCAUUGUGCGUUUGCAUUUUAACACAAAAGCAGAGAGGAAUACAAUUAGAAACGCUUUCAGGAUUUGUGUGCCUGCAAACGCUGGCUGGUAACACUUUUGACGUCAUAAGAUAUAAAAAGGCUGACACAGACCACUUUUGUGCCAGGUUAGUGUUGGGCACGUCGUACUAAUUGAAUUAUACGUACUCAGUGGGUUUAAACAAAAACGCGUCACUUAAAUGGUUUUGCAUCUCAUUAAUUUCUGCUGAUUCCAUUUUGUUAUGGUCACCAUGCAAACACAUUCGAAUGUGCAGCUAAUUAUAUUAAGGCUGUUUAAAAAAUAUAUUAAAGUGAUUGAAAUUGCUAUGUUGGACAAAAUAUCGUUGUGCUCUGCUGCAAAGUACCACAUUGUCCAUUUCUCAUAUCAUAAAACAAUCAUGUGCAGCCCUUCGCCAAUCCACUGCUGGAUGAAAAUCUCCACGUGGCUUGUAAAUCUUUGGGUGUUGUUUGACCAUACUUUAUUGCCACUCUGGUCAGUGCAGAUUGGUGAAGAGGAGGGCCCAUGGCCAUUCGCGAUUUUACUAGCCGAUCGUGUUAGAUGUAGCUGGGAAUCAAACUCGGGUUUCUGGGUUUCAUGGCACAGCGCAAACCACUGACUUGCUCUCCGUCGCGUUACUCACGUGAAGCCCACUUGUUCAGAUCUCGUCUACGGUGCUUUCUUGAUGUUGCCAACACGCUGUUUAUUUCAAAUGAAUGGUUAAUUUUAGGCACGAACGUUGCACAUGAUUAUGACAGCGUAGUCAAACUGUGCUGCAUCCUGCCACUACAAAUUAAUAGGCUCUAUAACCACAGGACAGGACAGGACGCACAUCCUGUUGUAAAUGCCUCUUCUUUUUUUUUUUGGAAUUAAUAAAACUCUCUUUUUUGCGCGCGCUGGCGGCGGCUAACACUGCACCAUCGGUAAUGCAUACUCAGAACGGGUUGAUGAGUACUUGCAGCUCACCUGCGUGCGACGCUCCCAUAUCAACAGCAAACUCCACUUUUUUUUGUUCAGCUUCCUCCCAACAUAUCAUCAAAAAGAUAGCUGAAUUACACCCAAGUAUCAAUAUCGCUCGUGACGUACGAUUGUAUUUAUACACACACGUGCCUUGCCAUUAAAGGCGUGCCGUGACUCGUUAGUCGAUAGCAGCCCCAAGUUUCCCCUUGGCUGCAAGUUUAUCGACCCCGGGGCGGGGGGGGCUGUCUUCUCCCCCUGGACAUCGCCUCGUCUCCGGCUCCGCCGGGGUCCAUCGCUGCCUCACCGUCUGGGUGCCACCGUGCCCAGCGCUAUUUAUUAUUCAAUGAAUAUGAAGCGCUUGCGUAGUGCCAGUGACGCCAGGACGAGCUCUGCGCCCAGCCUGUCUGCUCUCUGUCCCGACUCAUCUCCUCGGCCUGAGCUGCUCAAGAGAAUUUUCUGUGUCUUGACCUCUGAAAGUAUUUCAACUUGCUUUGCGUAACUAGCAGCUUGCAUGUGAUCAGAUACCAAUGCAGGCAACACGCACACACGCGCACGCACAACAAUUAAAAAAACGUAUUUUAAUCGCAGAUGCGUCAAGCGAUGUGAUGGUACCGCUCAGAUAGAAAAAAAGUUUAAGCGUUAGCAAAUUUGGUGAUAUGUAAAAAACAUGCGAAUGUGAAAUAUGAUUUUCUGACAUGCAAUUGUUUGUAUGCAAUUUAAAUAUUGCCAUUCCAUGCCAUUGACACAUUACAUACAUUACAGGCAUAUACAGUCAGUGCAUAAAAAUAUAUAUGUCCAAGACACUUGAUAACUGCAAAUUUAACCCUAAGCCAUCUGCUGAAGAAAUCUGAUCCUUUUAGGUCAUUAUCUGCCUCCGCUACCUCCCAAGCUUUCAAAGGUUUUGAAAGGACGAGGGCAACAGCGGCCGGCAGAAAAGACCAGACUUUUUGCAUAAAUCUGCCAGCAAUGCCUUGAAAAGUGCAUUAGAGAGCCCGAUUAUUGAUGGCUCUGUAUUUACCGAUGCCAUCAAACAAACAACUCCCCCCCCCCAGUCGUAGAUCUGCUCAGUCUCCUGCUGGAUAUUUUUUUUGUUCCUUGCCAGUGGCCUGAGAAAGGUCGGGAGGGCAGGCUUGGGUGGAAUGGCUCGGACAGAGACACUCAUCUGCUUUGCACACACAAACGGCACGCAUAAUGAAACGCACCUGGAUACGGACGCUUGGCCGAAUGCCUCUUGGGCAGAUUUUCUUUUUUGGAGGCAUCAUCAUAACAGUUUUCCGUACAAUGCGCUGAAACAUUACGAGCGUGCGGACAGUGUGUUGAUACCCAGCCACCGUUGACCCAUACAAGGCGAUAAAAGUGAGAAAAACACCACUACCCCCGCCACCACCACCACACAAAAAAACUCAAGUGAAAGAAAUGUGAUCAAUGAGAUAACACAAAACCCCCUGAAAGUUUCCAUUACUAAGUAAUCACAAAUAUUUAUAACAAUUGAGUGGAAUAAAUUGCAACGCUCACUCCCCAUGGUGAUUUGAUUAAUUGCCACGAUGUAGCGUCACGAUUAUAGGCAUGCCACUGAAUGGUGGUUGCAGAGGAGACUUGAACCAAUUACUUACAACGUAUGCGAUUCGAACGACAUCACUUAUCAUAUAUAUACUAGCGGGAAGUAUCCGGCGUUGCCCAGGGGAAAAAUAUAUUUCGAAACUUAUCUUAAAACCAUAACAUAUACAUACACAAGUACUAAGCUAUUGCGUUCCGUUUGUCUGUCCAUUUGUCCAUCAACAAAAUUAUAAGAGGCUUGCAGAAGUCCUGAAUCCAAAAGUAAUAGAAAGUGGCAGGUAAAUAGCACACACACACAAGUACAAUUCUUUUACAUAUUAGAAUCCAGAUUGUAAGCUCAUUCCUUGAGACCUGCUUUUGUGUUGAGUUGACCUUCCUCCGCACUUCCCAUCAGCACGGUUAGGCUACGUAACGGUGCGAAAGAAUGUCAACAUACGUACAAUUCGAUGCACAUAUCGUGGGAUUAAUAAUUGAUAAUAAUCUACCUUAAUCGACGAAUUGCAGCUGUUCCACUCCCAAUAACAAUGUGACGUUCUCCUGUAGAACCUUCAGCUCGGCGUUGAAUGUUCUAAUCUUGUCAACCAGGACUGAGACUGCAACCCUCGACAUUUCAGUGGCGGCAGAUCGAACCCUCUGUUAGUUUGUUUUAUUUGCAGCCCUUUGUCAAUCCACUGCUUGAUGAAGGCCCCCCCAUGUCGUGUCUCUUCCACACUCCAGAAAAAUUUUUACAAAAUAAGUUAUCAGACUGUAUUUGGACCUUUAAACAUUUAAUAAAAUUCUGCUUAGGCAUCAACAAAUUAAAAUGUAUUGCUUGAUUUUACAAUCCAAUGCAACACAUCUACAACAAUCCCACUACGAAACAGCUGUCUUAAAAUCUGAAUCUUUAUUUGAAGCAUUCGAGCACACAUUUUUGUUGAAGAAUAAAAAAAAAAUUCCGUGAAUAAAACAGUUGCGAUAGUCUGGAGUGUAUAAUCUCCACUAUCUUCACAAAACACCAAGCUUAAUCAAGACCGUGUAGUCACUCAACCAUUAUACACUCACCUUAUUUUCCUCUUUUUAACCAUUGUGUAAGAACCUUAUCCCUUAGUCACAUGGUUACUUUGCAUUUAAAACGUAAAGUAUCUACAACACGAACCACAAAAAUCAGUUAACUACAAGAAAAGAUGAACGCAUACACCUCGAUGUAAUCCAGGUGAUGGAGUUCAUUGUUUGUUUGUGAUUCGGUCAGAUGGUGGUGACAAUGACGACAUCACAGCUGUUAAAAAUAGAACAUUUGCAGGAAUAAUUAGAGAAAGGCAAGUUUGAUUUCUUGGGCAUUGGUUGGGAAAACAAGAGAUUGAAUAUAAUGUUUUGUCUUGAAAACUUAUAGGUACACAAAGUCGGGGAAGACAGCAAAUGAAAUGCACAAGCAAGUUGAGCAUAUGGAUGCAGCUGGGGGUAUCCAAUGCAAAGUUCUUGGGUAAACAGCAUGGACAGAACUAAAUGGAAACUCAUGAUCGCUGAUGUCUUGGAGAGAAGAUAGGGCACACAGAGAGAGAUUAACGUUACUCUGUUUCGCACGGUUGGCAACUCUAAUUAGCAAGGUUGCCUUCAUACAGUGCGAAAGAAGUUCAACAUACGAAUCUUUGUCUAAAACAGAGGUAACUAAUCUACUCGUUUUCUCUCUGUAGUGUCUCAUCGGACUGGAUGCAAAAUUGUUUAACUGGUUUAUUAAACCUAUGAUUGCAAAUAACGUGCACAUCAGGUUUUCAAUAUAUACCAAACCGACUUUCACAGAGAAUCCCAGAAUGUGCUACUGUCGUUUGUACAAAUGAUGAAAUGUAAUCCAUUUCAGUGCAAAAGUACUGUAUGCGAUAGCAAACCAGAUAAACGAAAACCUUAUAAAUAUUACAUUGAAUAUGUUUAAAACAGACACGUGUAUGUAAAAUAAAUUACACUCGUUGUGUUAAUCACAAACGCAGAUUGUUUUAUUUACAAGUAUAAUGUUUGUCGAAAACUAUUUGUAUUGUGUACAUUUAGCGGGAACAGCAGCCGCAUUGUGUAAUCUAAUGUGUGCGCACAAGCUGUGGAAUA